rnacentral:rRNA from 1 species
AACGCGAAGAACCUUACCAGCCCUUGACAUGUCCGGUAUGGGGUGGGGGAGACCCACUUCUUCAGUUCGGCUGGCCGGAACACAGGUGCUGCAUGGCUGUCGUCAGCUCGUGUCGUGAGAUGUUGGGUUAAGUCCCGCAACGAGCGCAACCCCCAUCUUCAGUUGCCAGCGGUUCGGCCGGGCACUCUGAAGAAACUGCCGGUGACAAGCCGGAGGAAGGCGGGGAUGACGUCAAGUCCUCAUGGCCCUUAUGGGCUGGGCUACACACGUGCUACAAUGGAACGGACAACGAGUCGCGAACCCGCGAGGGUAAGCUAAUCUCCUAAACCGUUUCUCAGUUCGGAUUGGAGGCUGCAACUCGCCUCCAUGAAGUCGGAAUCGCUAGUAACCGCAGAUCAGCUACGCUGCGGUGAAUACGUUCCCGGGCCUUGUACACACCGAGUAUA